AACUUUUGAGCAUCAGUUCUCUGCUCUCACGAUGCAGGGUUCCGAGGAUCACACAGGUCAUCAAGCUUGUUCAGCAAGCACUUCCACCUACUGAGGAAUCUCACUGAUUCCAAACUAAUCCAGUCUUAGGAAUAUUCUGGAAUACUUGGGAUGAAUAUGAAUGUGUAAAGACAGACCAGUGGGUUUUCAAAGUUGUCAAAAGUGUGAGAGACUCCAAGCUCCUGGAAAUAGAGAGGGAAGAGCAGGGAAAGACAUUGUAGAACAGUGCUUAAGAUGUCUGUCCUCUGUGGAACCUAGAGCUCUUAAUAUUAACCAGGAUCCAGGCUGUUUUGCUGGAACUCCUGAGCUUCUCAGAGCAUCUAUAGUGGUGCCUUUGAAGUUACGGUUACUGAGAGGUACAGACUGUAGGACUGGUGAUGGCCCAGCAGUUCAGAGCACUUGCUGCUCUUCCCGAGCACCCUAGUUUGAUUUCCAGUACUCACACCCUCACACAGACAUACCCGAAAUACACAUGAUUAAAAGUAAUGCAAAAAUAAAAUUUAAAAAAUA
rnacentral:lncRNA from 1 species